AGGUGCUUAGUGCAGUAGUCUAGCACGCCAGCCCAAGAAACUUACGAGAUCUGCGUUCGAUUCCCAGAGCAGCCA